rnacentral:lncRNA from 1 species
CUAUUAUCCCAUGAAGAUAAAGGGGAUCCUCCCUCUUGAAUGGGAUGCUCUACUUAUGAAAUGAGUUGUGUUUCAUGCCUGGGACUUGAGAGUUAAAUUUGACUUAUUGAAUCCCCCCUUUGUAUGAGGACUCUGAAGAAUCCUAUCCUCAUUUGAAGCUGUAAUUAAGAUAGAGGAAUGGACUCAGCUUUCCAGUCCUCGUACAUCAAUAUCUUCUUCAGCAUUUUAGACUAAAAACAACAAUAUACAUACGAGUUUCCAAGGUCCAAAAAACAUACAUAAUUCCAUUAGUAAAAUAAAAAUAUAUCUUCAGAAGAAUAAAACAUGAAAAUGGGGCUGCAGCUGUCUGCUGAUUUUUUUCUGUCUCGAGUCCUUUUCUUCUAGUAGUCCUUGAUUAGAUUAGAUUAGAAUCAAAACCUGAUUGCUGACAAAUUAUUUCAGUUACUAUUUCAAUUCCCUGGCUCUUCCUUAAAGAAUAAUAGAAGCUGAGAAAUGACUCGAAAUUACGCUAAAAUCUACAGAAUUUGGUUAGCGGUGGAAAUUGUGCUACUUCUUUUGAUUGGAAUCAUUUCAUCUGUCCUCUCCCUGCUUUAUUACUCAAAACAUAUUCCUCUUCCACUAGCAAUCGGUUCAAUAAUGCAGUUAAUAAUUAUCCAAGGAUCCCUCAUUGGCAUCAGGUACAUGGCUAUUAAAACAUCCCUUCGGUACGAAAGUAAAUGGAUCUAUGUAGAGUUGACUUGUACUGGAUGUAUAUUAAUUGCUCUAGGGUGUGUGAUUAUCCUCUCAUUUGGAUUUUGUUUUUCUGGUCAAAUAACUCAAGGAAUCAUCAUGGGGAUUUUAGCUUUAAUAAUCUUAUCGGUUGUUGCGACUAAAUUCUUAAUUGGAUAUCAUGUAGCAUAUACACUGGAUGAGAAAAGAUUCAAUAGUUUCAACGUCAAUAUAGUUUAAAAGCCUUUAAUAAUUCUCUAUUAGAAUUUAUAUCUUAGUCAUGUUAAUUAUUAUAUAUUUAUAAUGUAUGUCAAGAAAGAAAAUAUAAAUAAUUAGUCCAUAA